rnacentral:rRNA from 1 species
CCUACGGGUGGCAGCAGUAGGGAAUAUUGCUCAAUGGGGGAAACCCUGAAGCAGCAACGCCGCGUGGAGGAUGAAGGUUUUCGGAUUGUAAAACUCUUUAAGUGGGGACGAAGAAAGUGACUGUACCCACAGAAUAAGCCUCGGCUAACUACGUGCCAGCAGCCGCGGUAAUACGUAGGAGGCAAGCGUUAUCCGGAAUGACUGGGCGUAAAGGGUGCGUAGGUGGUUGGACAAGUUAGUAGCGUAAUUCCGGGGCUCAACUUCGGAACUACUACUAAAACUGUUGGGCUUGAGUGCAGGAGAGGUGAAUGGAAUUCCUAGUGUAGCGGUGGAAUGCUUAGAUAUUAGGAGGAACACCAGCGGCGAAAGCGAUUCACUGGACUGUAACUGACACUGAGGCACGAAAGCGUGGGGAGCAAACAGGAUUAGAUACCCGAGUAGUC